AGAGUUUGAUCCUGGCUCAGGACGAACGCUGGCGGCGUGCCUAACACAUGCAAGUCGAACGGGGCCCGCAAGGGUUCAGUGGCAAACGGGUGCGUAACACGUGAGGAACUUGUCCAUCGGCGGGGGAUAGCCGGCCCAACGGCCGGGUAAUACCGCGUACGACCUUCGGGAGGCAUCUCCUGGAGGUGAAAGCAGCAAUGCGCCGAUGGAGGGCCUCGCGGCCUAUCAGCUAGUUGGUGAGGUAAUGGCUCACCAAGGCUACGACGGGUAGCUGGUCCGAGAGGAUGACCAGCCACAUUGGGACUGAGACACGGCCCAGACUCCUACGGGAGGCAGCAGUGGGGAAUAUUGCGCAAUGGGCGAAAGCCUGACGCAGCGACGCCGCGUGUGGGAUGAAGGUCUUCGGAUCGUAAACCACUGUCGGGAGGGACGAAGUUCUGACGGUACCUCCAAAGGAAGCACCGGCUAACUCUGUGCCAGCAGCCGCGGUAAUACAGAGGGUGCAAGCGUUGUCCGGAAUUACUGGGCGUAAAGGGCGCGUAGGCGGCCCGAUAAGUAGGAGGUGAAAUUCUGCGGCUCAACCGCAGGACUGCCUUCUAAACUGUCAGGCUUGAGCACGGUAGAGGCUGGCGGAAUUCCCGGUGUAGCGGUGGAAUGCGUAGAGAUCGGGAAGAACAUCCGUGGCGAAGGCGGCCAGCUGGGCCGUUGCUGACGCUGAGGCGCGACAGCGUGGGGGAGCAAACAGGAUUAGAUACCCUGGUAGUC
rnacentral:rRNA from 1 species